GUUCUCAGUAGUGGAGUACAGUCCUUGUGAAAUGAUAGCGGGCUGAUAUUUUAGUGGCUUGUUUGUGUUUUGUUGGUUUGAACUUCUUUGGCUCUGAGCAGAGAACUGAGUGGCAAUAACUGAGUGAUUGGUGAGGAAAGGCUGAAAGGUAUCUCGUCAAAUGACCCGUUUUUUGGCUUGAUUUGGAGUCCCACACCAAAACCUAAUAAUGGACUUAAGCUUUGCUCAACUUUAGUAAGUAUAAACACCAAAAACACCGAUCCCUAAAUAAAAUACACUAAACGAGCAAAUUGUUUUUUGCCAAACUGUCCGCCCCUGGCUUUCAUUAAACUCCACUCCAGGUUUUCCAAGCAACACCUGCUAACCGAGAAAUUCAAUUAAGGACUCCUCUUCCCACUUGGAGCCGGUCUCCAGGGCACAUCUUCCGGACGACUGUAAGAAAUUAGAAAAUGCUACAAUAAAGCCCGAAAAAACUGAAAAAAAAAAUGUGGCAACUUUAAUAAUGAUAGCCCCCCCAACGCUAUCCACCGUAAACACACACCUCCCUUUUAGCUGGAAGUCACCGAGAGACAGCGAAGUAACACAGAUCACUCAUGGAAAGCCAUCUUCUAUAUUAAAAAUGCCACAGCUAGUACAACACAAGAAAUCAGAUGGCAGUAGAGUGAGCAAUGGCCAGGGGCGAUAACUCCUCAGCGGUUUCAGAGUGCAGAUUGUUGUUCAAGGUGAGUCUUAAACUUGCAUUCUUGUCUCUUACAUGAUAUACUAAUCUAGAGGUUGAGUCAUGGCAACUGGACUUGUUUUUAGGUCGAAAUGUUUCACUAC
rnacentral:lncRNA from 1 species